GACGAACGCUGGCGGCGUGCUUAACACAUGCAAGUCGAGCGGUAAGGCCCUUUCGGGGGUACACGAGCGGCGAACGGGUGAGUAACGCGUGGGUGACCUGCCCUCAGCUCUGGGAUAAGCCUGGGAAACCGGGUCUAAUACUGGAUAUGACUCCAUGACGCAUGUUGUGGGGUGGAAAGCCUUGUGCGGCUGAGGAUGGGCCCGCGGCCUAUCAGCUUGUUGGUGGGGGAUGGCCUACCAAGGCGACGACGGGUAGCCGGCCUGAGAGGGCGACCGGCCACACUGGGACUGAGACACGGCCCAGACUCCUACGGGAGGCAGCAGUGGGGAAUCUUGCGCAAUGGGCGAAAGCCUGACGCAGCGACGCCGCGUGAGGGAUGACGGCCU
rnacentral:rRNA from 1 species